rnacentral:rRNA from 1 species
UGGGCAACCUGCCCCAGACUUUGGGAUAACUCCGGGAAACCGGGGCUAAUACCGGAUACGACUGCUGGCCGCAUGGUUGGUGGUGGAAAGUUUUUUCGGUCUGGGAUGGGCCCCGCGGCCUAUCAGCUUGUUGGUGGGGUGAUGGCCUACCAGGGCGACGACGGGUAGCCGGCCUGAGAGGGCGACCGGCCACACUGGGACUGAGACACGGCCCAGACUCCGUACGGGAGCAG